UACGGGAGGCAGCAGGGGGGAAUAUUGGACAAUGGGCGAAAGCCUGAUCCAGCCAUGCCGCAUGAGUGAAGAAGGCCUUCGGGUUGUAAAGCUCUUUUAGUGAGAAAGAUAAUGACGGUACUCACAGAAGAAGUCCUGGCUAACUCCGUGCCAGCAGCCGCGGUAAUACGGAGAGGGCUAGCGUUAUUCGGAAUUAUUGGGCGUAAAGAGCGCGUAGGCUGAUUAGUAAGUUAAAAGUGAAAUCCCAAAGCUUACUUUGGAAUUGCUUUUUAAAACUGCUAGUCUAGAGAUUGAAAGAGGAUAGAGGAAUUCCUAGUGUAGAGGUGAAAUUCGUAAAUAUUAGGAGGAACACCAGUGGCGAAGGCGUCUAUCUGGUUCAAAUCUGACGCUGAGGCGCGAAGGGCGUGGGGAGCAAACAGGGAUUAGAUACC
rnacentral:rRNA from 1 species